CCCGUCAUCUUUAUCUCUCCACCUGUGCACUUUUUGUAGACCUGGAUGACUUUCCGAGGAAACUCGGUCGGGAGGACUGCUGUGCGUCAAAGCCGGCUGUCCUUGCAUUUCCAGGUCUAUGUUUUCAUAUACCCCAUAGUAUGUAACAGAAUGUAUCAAUGGGCCUUGUGCCUAUAAACUUUAUACAACUUUCAGCAACGGAUCUCUUGGCUCUCGCAUCGAUGAAGAACGCAGCGAAAUGCGAUAAGUAAUGUGAAUUGCAGAAUUCAGUGAAUCAUCGAAUCUUUGAACGCACCUUGCGCUCCUUGGUAUUCCGAGGAGCAUGCCUGUUUGAGUGUCAUUAAAUUCUCAACCUUACCAGCUUUUGCUGAUAAUGGCUUGGAUGUGGGGGUCUUUUUUGCCGGCUUCUAACGAGGUCAGCUCCCCUUAAAUGCAUUAGCCGGUGCCCUGCGUGGAACUGUCUAUUGGUGUGAUAAUUAUCUACGCCGUGGACGUCUGCUUUAAAUGGGUGCAUUGCUUCUAACUGUCUUCGGACAAACACAAUGACAAUUUGACCUCAAAUCAGGUAGGACUACCCGCUGAACUUAAGCAUA
rnacentral:rRNA from 1 species